GUACUGUGGCCCUGAUAGAGUGACUGCAAAGCAACAAAUGCAGGAGUUAGACAGAGUCACAAAAACUCUAUCAGAGAAUAUACCUUCAUCUGUGAAGAGGUUCACUGAUCGUGCCGUUCUUUCACUUCAAGUUUUCUUUUUUCAACUUAGUUUAGAUUCCUGUAAAUCUUAUAACGUGUCAUUCUCUGAAAUGGAAAACACUAAAUAUGGCAAACUGGAAUAUUUAAACAGGCCUUUGAGUGUUGACUUGGAAAUGGAAAUGAAUGUAAUUAUUUUG